UACGAAGGGGGCUAGCGUUGUUCGGAUUUACUGGGCGUAAAGCGCACGUAGGCGGAUCUUUAAGUCAGAGGUGAAAUCCCAAGGCUCAACCUUGGAACUGCCUUUGAUACUGGGGAUCUUGAGUCCGGGAGAGGUGAGUGGAACUGCGAGUGUAGAGGUGAAAUUCGUAGAUAUUCGCAAGAACACCAGUGGCGAAGGCGGCUCACUGGCCCGGUACUGACGCUGAGGCGCGAAAGCCAGGGGAGCGAACGGG
rnacentral:rRNA from 1 species